ACAGAGGAUGAGAUGGCUGGAUGGCAUCACUGACUGGAUGGACGUGAGUCUCAGUGAACUCCGGGUGUUGGUGUUCGACAGGGAGGCCUGGCAUACUGAGAUUCAUGGGUUCGCAAAGAGCCGGACACGACUGAGCGACUGAUCUAAUCUGAACAAGUGUAGGACUCAGCCCAGUUCAGUGUAGAGAGCGAGAUAUGGGCUCAGAAGUGUUUGUUAGACCUUCAACGUGGGCAGGACCCACCUGCUUCAGUGCAGGGACCAAAAUGUGGUUUCAGGAGCAUUUAUCAAAGUCUUGAAUAAGGGCAGGAACCGGGCGGCUUCAAGGCAGGGCGUGAGAUGCGGGUACAGGAGUGUUUCCAGGGGGAUUGAAAAAGGGGAGGACACACCUUAGUUCAGGGGCAGGCAGCGAGUUGUCAGCUCAGGAUGUUUUUCUGGGGGCUUGAACAAAGUAGAAACCAUUCUAGUUCAGUGCAGGGAUGGAGAUGUUGGCUCAGGAGUGUUUGUCAGGGAUUUGCAUGAGGGCAGGGACCAGCAAACUUCAGUGCAGUGAGUGAGAUAUGGGAUCGUAGUGUUGCCUGGGGUAUUGGUCAAGGGGAGGACACACCUUACUUCAGUGGCAGGGAGAGAGUUGUCAGCUCAGGAUUGUUUGCCGGGACUUGAACAAAUGCUGGAACUAUCCUGGUUCAGUGCAGGAACCAAGAUGUUGGCUCAGGAGUGUUUGUCAGAGUCUUGAACAAGUGCAGGACACAGCCUAGUUCAGUGCAGGGACGGUGAUGCAGGCUCAAGAGUGUUUGUCAGGGGUUUGAACAAGGGCUUGACCCAGCCUAUUUUAGUGCAGGGACUGAGAUGUGGGCUUAGGAGUUUUUGCCAGGGAUUUUGACAAGGUCUGGACCCAGCCCUGGUUCANUGCUGUGCGUGAGAUG
rnacentral:sRNA from 1 species